GGGUAAAAAUUAAUAAAGUGAAAUAAUAAUAAAAAAAAUUUUAAUAUUAAAAAUAAUUUAGUGGGGAUUAAAGUAUUUUUAAUAGAAAAAAUUAUAUAUUUUAUAGUUAAUUAGUAUUGUAAAAGAAUUUUGAAAAAUAAUGAAAAUAAAUUAAUUAAAAAGUAAUUUUUAUUUGAUGUAUCUUGUGUAUCAGAGUUUAUUAAAAAUUUUUUAAAUGUGUAAAUUUCUCGAAUUUAAAAGAGUUAAUUAAUUAAAAAAUUUAUUGUAGAAAAAAUAUUUUAAAUAAUUAAUUUGAAAUGAAAUGUUAUUCGUUUUUAAAUAUAUCUAGUUUUUUUGAAAAAAAAUUUAAUUUAUAAUUUAAUUUUAUUGAAAAAUUUAUUAUAUAAUAAUUUUCAAUAAAAUUAAAUUUAAUAUUUUAAGGGAUAAUCUUUAAAAUAAAAUAUUAUAAAUAUAUAAGUUAUUUUAAAAUUUUUAAAAUUUAUAUUUUUUAUAAAAUUUAAUUUAUUAUAAAUAAUUUUAAAUUAAGAAAAAUUUUAAUUAAAUUUUAAUUUUUUAUAAAAAAAAAUAUUUUAAUUAUAAUAAUAAAGUUAUAAUGAUAAAAUUAGUAUAUUAAAAUUAUUAAAAUAUUUAAUUAAAUAUAAAUUUAAUAAAAAGAAUUCGGCAAAAUUAUAUAUUCACCUGUUUAACAAAAACAUGUCUUUUUGUGAAUAAUUUAAAGUCUAAUCUGCCCACUGAUAAAUAAUUAAAGGGCUGCAGUAUAUUGACUGUACAAAGGUAGCAUAAUCAAUAGUCUCUUAAUUAGUGACUUGUAUGAAUGAUUGGAUGAAAUAUAAACUGUUUCUUAUUAAUUUAAUAUAAUUUAAUUUUUUAAUUAAAAAGUUAAAAUAAUUUUAAAAGACGAGAAGACCCUAUAGAGUUUUAUAAAUUAAUUAAAUUGAAAUUGAAUUUUUUAAUUAAAUUAAAAUUUUUUAAUUUAUUUUGUUGGGGUGAUAAAAAAAUUAAAAAAACUUUUUUUGAAAAAAUUUUCAUAAAUAAGUGAUUAUAAUGAUCCAAAAGUUUUGAUUAAAAGAUUAAAUUACCUUAGGGAUAACAGCGUAAUUUUUUUUUUUAGUUCAUAUAAAAAAAAAAGUUUGCGACCUCGAUGUUGGAUUAAGAUAAAAUUUAAAUGCAAAAGUUUAAAAUUUUGAUCUGUUCGAUCAUUAAAAUCUUACAUGAUCUGAGUUCAAACCGGUUUAAGCCAGGUUGGUUUCUAUCUUUAGAAAAUUAAAAUAUUUUAGUACGAAAGGAUUUGAUAUUUAAAAUAAUUUUAUUAUUUAGAAUGUUAUUAAUUGAUUUAUAAACUUAUAAAUUAAAAUUUGUUUAAAUUGUUAUUUAGUUUAUGAUAAUAA
rnacentral:rRNA from 1 species